AUGGCCAGCGUCACCGAGCUCUGCCCGUUGUCCCUCGAGAUCCUGAACCGGCCCUUGACCGAUGGGCUCCGGGUGGCCGUGACCCUGCUGGAGUCCGGGGGGGACCUCCAGCCCCCCGGCGGGUCCCUGACCUUGGUCUGCCGAGGCUCCGGGUUGGAUUUUGGGAGUUUUGGGAUGUUUUGGAUCCGUCAGAGACCUGGGCAGGGGCUGGAAUAUGUCGCAGAUAUCAGCGGUGGUGGCAGCACUUGGUACGCGCCGUCGGUGCGGGGCCGAGCAACGAUCUCGAGGGACAACGGGCAGAGCUCGGUGACGCUGGCCAUGAGCAGCCUCAGGGACGAGGAUUCCGCCGUUUAUUUCUGCGCCAAAACUGCUUACGGUGGUGCUGGUUGGGAGACCAGGAGCCCCCUCCCCAAGGACUGA